rnacentral:misc_RNA from 1 species
GUGGGAGGGGGCUUGCUCCCGAUGGCGGCGUGUCAGUCAACAGAGUCAUUGGCUGAUCCACCGCCAUCGGGAGCAAGCCCCCUCCCAC